GUAAAACUUUAGAGGUAUGAAUUUCACCAAAACAGGUGUGGACUCACCCGCCGUGCGUGUGUGUGUGUGUGUGUUUGUGUGUGCUUGAGCGUGCGUGCAUCAAGGGUCAUGUGGUGAAGGUGUUGGUUUUCUCAAGUGGUGGUGGUGUUAGUGGUAGUGGCGGUGGGGGUGGUGGUGACUAUCCUAGUGCCGCGCCGCGCCGGGCCGCACCGCGCUGCGCCUAGCAAGUGUUUCAGCAGGCGGGCGCGUCGUCUCAAGGCGUCACGCUGCUGAUGGCAUGUAAUAUCGGCGGAAAUUAAUUGACGAAGUUGACUCCUGGGAAAUCGGACGUGCGGUUGAAAAUUUUGGACCAAUCAUAGGGCAGCUGAGGCAGAGCGGCGGGUCAGUCGCCCUUUGGUCGCUGGUGUGGGAGGCUGUGCGCCGCCGCCCUCUGAGUCCCACGCCCCGCCGCCGCGCCCUGGCUCAGUGUGAGCGUCCCUCGCGUCGCGGUGUGUUCGCGCCCCGCACUCGACGAAAACAGCAAUAUGAGUGGAGUGCCGAGCUGUGGCGAUUUGCACAGUGAAGGGAAGCACACGGCAACACGACGCCAAGCAGAAAUAGAAGCCAAGUAAGAGAAUAUUGUGAAGACUGGUAGAAAUUAAAGCGAGAAAUAAUAGAAGGAACAGGCUCAGAAUAACAGGAAGCGGAUGUGAAGCGUAUAUCAGUUGAAAGCUACAAAAUUCGACUGAUUGGAAUUGGAUACAGAAAUGAAGGAAAGAGAAAUGUAAAAGAGAAAACAAAAUAGAUUCUGAAUGAUCGAUAUGGAAGUGAGAAAGGAGAAAAGGAUAACGAAUAAUGA